rnacentral:rRNA from 1 species
UACAGAGGUCUCAAGCGUUGUUCGGAUUCAUUGGGCGUAAAGGGUGCGUAGGCGGCGCGGUAAGUCGGGUGUGAAAUCUCGGAGCUUAACUCCGAAACUGCAUUCGAUACUGCCGUGCUUGAGGACUGGAGAGGAGACUGGAAUUUACGGUGUAGCGGUGAAAUGCGUAGAUAUCAGGAAGAACACCUAUGGCGAAGGCAGCUCUCUGGGACGGUACUGACGCUGAGACGCGAAAGCGUGGGGAGCGAACAGG